GCUGACGUAGCUCAGCGGUAGAGCAACUGUUUUGUAAACAGUAGGUCGGGAGUUCGAACCUCCCCGUCAGCU
rnacentral:tRNA from 1 species